rnacentral:rRNA from 1 species
CCUACGGGGGGCAGCAGUGGGGGAUAUUGGACAAUGGGGGGAACCCUGAUCCAGCGACGCCGCGUGAGUGAAGAAGUAUUUCGGUAUGUAAAGCUCUGUCAGCAGGGAAGAAAGAAAUGACGGUACCUGACCAAGAAGCCCCGGCUAACUACGUGCCAGCAGCCGCGGUAAUACGUAGGGGGCAAGCGUUAUCCGGAAUUACUGGGUGUAAAGGGAGCGUAGACGGUUAAGUAAGUCAGGAGUGAAAGGCCGGGGCCCAACCCCGGGACUGCUCUGGAAACUAUUGAACUUGAGUGCAGGGGAGGUAAGCGGAAUUCCUAGUGUAGCGGUGAAAUGCGUAGAUAUUAGGAGGAACACCAGUGGCGAAGGCGGCUUACUGGACUGUAACUGACGUUGAGGCUCGAAAGCGUGGGGAGCAAACAGGAUUAGAUACCCGGGUAGUC